AACGAACGCUGGCGGCAGGCCUAACACAUGCAAGUCGAACGAACCGUUUACGGUGAGUGGCGCACGGGUGAGUAACACGUGGGAAUAUACAUUUCGGUAAGGAAUAACGUAGAGAAAUUUACGCUAAUACCUUAUAAUGACUACGGUCCAAAGAUUUAUCGCCGAAGGAUUAGCCCGCGUUAGAUUAGGCAGUUGGUAGGGUAAUGGCCUACCAAGCCUACGAUCUAUAGCUGGUCUUAGAGGAUGAUCAGCCACACUGGAACUGAGACACGGUCCAGACUCCUACGGGAGGCAGCAGUGAGGAAUAUUGCGCAAUGGGGGAAACCCUGACGCAGCCAUGCCGCGUGAGUGACGAAGGCCUUAGGGUUGUAAAGCUCUUUCAGAUGUAAAGAUAAUGACGGUAACAUCAGGAGAAGCUCCGGCUAAAUUCGUGCCAGCCGCCGCCGUAA
rnacentral:rRNA from 1 species